rnacentral:rRNA from 1 species
UACGUAGGGUGCGAGCGUUGUCCGGAAUUAUUGGGCGUAAAGAGCUCGUAGGCGGACCUGCAAGUCGGGGGUGAAAGCCCGAGGCUCAACCUCGGAACUGCCUUCGAUACUGCGGGUCUCGAGUCCGGGAGAGGUGAGUGGAAUUCCUAGUGUAGAGGUGAAAUUCGUAGAUAUUAGGAAGAACACCAGUGGCGAAGGCGGCUCACUGGCCCGGUACUGGACGCUGAGGCGCGAAAGCGUGGGGAGCAAACAGG